AUUACUUUUCCAUAAUUUUUUUAAUCUAAUUCCAACUAAACAUUAACAUAUUUCCAUCUUAUGUAGCUAAUAAUACUUCAAAAGAAUUUAUUCUUAUUUACUCUCAUUAAUUAUCCUUUAUAUAUCUCUGGUAGGACCCACGUAUAGGGCGCAUGUGUGUGGACCUCUGUGUGGGCUACUGUCUCAGCAUCAUGUAGAGCUGCUUCUGUUUUCUUUUUCCCUCUACGGCUCUAUUUUCUUUUCUUUCUCUACUUUCUCCUACUUUCUCUUCUAUCUCAUAUUUCUUCUCAUUCUCUUUUUCAUCUUCAUUUGGAAUCAUCGAGUGGAACGAUAUUCAAUAUAUCUUUUUCUGAAUUCCAUCGUUGUCACGUUCGCGCACCUUUCGAAUUUCUUUUCUUCUCUUACUUUUAUUUCCUCCUCUUCUUCUUCUCCAGGCUGGAUCGUCGAUGUAUAUAUUCUUCUGUGGUCGGAUAAGUUCCAUUUAUUAUCGAAUGACUCAAUUCAUAAUCGAUUUUUACACGGAAAUAAGAGAAGUAUAGGAGAACACUAGCGCGCAUGUCGGCGGUCACAGCCGUGGAUGUUCGGCCGCGAUUAAAGAACCUACCAUGGACUUAGUUUUAUUUGUUCGAAAAUUUGAUUAGAUUACCUCGCGAAUGCGGAUUUUAGAGUAGAAUCAGCGUUAUUUUAACACACACGCGAGUGUCGCGGGAGCGAUUAUAAAUUCUACCAAGGAUUACGCUUUUAUUAUUUGAAAUUCGAAAAGCACGAACGGUCGUGCUUAAUAAUCCAUUAUGUCUGAAGCUGAUGCAAUGGAUGGAAACUAUCUAGGAAAGUAUCAGCGUUAGCCUGUGGGUCUCCAUAUGCAGCAAUCUCCACGUGGUGAGACCUGGAUCGAUAGUACUUGCGAUAUAUCGAAAUUUUAUCUAUCAUCGAGGGAUCAUCGAGGUAUCGAGCAUAAUUCUGACUAAACAAAAGUAUUUAUACUUUAU